GCCUGAGGAUGUUGAUUGGGGUUACUGGAACACUCUAGUUUUUGGCUUAGGGAGGUGUAUUAGACUUUGUAGGGGUACAGGUGUUAAGCCAAAAAUUUAAAGUUUGUAAAGUUGUUUCUUUUUUUUAACAGCUGUCUACUUUUUGUUUCGGUGUUGUGUCAAAGGAUAUAACUCUUUUAAAUAAAGGGUUAUACUCUGUUUUCAUUUUUUCAAUAAGAGAUACAGUUUUAUUCAGAGUGCAAACACGUUACCUUUUCUCCUCUCUUGUGUGCCUAAUCCUUUAUUCUCCCUCUGUAACAUGCUGCUUCCAGGAAUAUAAUCUGAUAGAUAGAAGUCCCUCUCCAAGUGGCGGCUGGUGCUUUUUAAAGGAAGCCAUCCCGAGACUGUAUGCCCUACAUUGAAUUAAAAAUUUAGCACGUCCUCCUUGUUGUCCGUGUGAAGG
rnacentral:lncRNA from 1 species